CCUACGGGAGGCAGCAGUGAGGAAUAUUGGUCAAUGGGCGGAAGCCUGAACCAGCCAUGCCGCGUGAAGGAUGAAGGCGUUCUGCGUUGUAAACUUCUUUUAUUUGGGAAGAAAAUUGUGGUUUCUACUGCAACCGACGAUACCAGAUGAAUAAGCACCGGCUAACUCCGUGCCAGCAGCCGCGGUAAUACGGAGGGUGCAGGCGUUAUCCGGAUUUACUGGGUUUAAAGGGUGUGUAGGCGGGCUAUUAAGUCAGUGGUGAAAUCUUUCGGCUCAACCGGAAAACUGCCAUUGAUACUAUUAGUCUUGAAUAUCGUUGAGGUAGGCGGAAUACAUCAUGUAGCGGUGAAAUGCUUAGAUAUGAUGUAGAACACCGAUUGCGAAGGCAGCUUGCUAAACGAUUAUUGACGCUGAGGCACGAAAGCGUGGGGAUCAAACAGGAUUAGAUACCCUGGUAGUCCACGCCCUAAACGAUGAUUACUAGACGUACGCGAUACACAGUGUGCGUCUGAGCGAAAGCAUUAAGUAAUCCACCUGGGAAGUACGUCCGCAAGGAUGAAACUCAAAUGAAUUGACGG
rnacentral:rRNA from 1 species